rnacentral:rRNA from 1 species
GAUGAACGCUGGCGGCGUGCUUAACACAUGCAAGUCGAACGAGAACCAAAGGAUUGAGGAUUCGUCCAAAUGAAUUUGGGGAAAGUGGCGGACGGGUGAGUAACGCGUGAGCAAUCUGCCUUGGAGUGGGGAAUAACAGCUGGAAACAGCUGCUAAUACCGCAUGAUACAGCUGGGAGGCAUCUCCCUGGCUGUCAAAGAUUUAUCGCUCUGAGAUGAGCUCGCGUCUGAUUAGCUGGUUGGCGGGGUAACGGCCCACCAAGGCGACGAUCAGUAGCCGGACUGAGAGGUUGGCCGGCCACAUUGGGACUGAGACACGGCCCAG